rnacentral:lncRNA from 1 species
GAACCAGGCCACGCCAGACGCAUCAUCUCUGGGUCCUGGUAUUCAUCCCCUUCCCGCCCAGCCCCGCCCCUGAAGACAGCAUGCAGCUGCAGAUUCCAGGGAGACUGCUGCUUAGGGGGGCCUACUGAAGCCAUAGCCCUGUGUGAGGAACUCAGGAUGAGAAGGUGAAGAUCAGAGACUCUCAGAGCCCACCUACAGCUUGUCCCCACGAAACCCACCCGACUUUUCCCUGCCUAGUCCACUCCACCACCGAUUGGGUCUGGCCCUGGCUGUGGGCAGCGAACUGGAAUCUCGAGCUGAGGGAACUCUGCCAUCCCGGGCAUGGAUUUCGUGUUCUUUCAGGUCUUGGAUAUAAAAUGCUUUCCGGAGGCCCCGUGCUUGAGCACAUGAUCACCAGCGGGUGGCGCUGUUUUUUCGAGGCUGUGAACCAUACAAAAGGUGCUCAACUGAAGUGGGACCACCAUCUCCAGAACUUCCAGAGGCAGGAAAGUGGACCGAGAAGAGCCCUGCAGACAAUGAGAGGUCCAUGCGGAGCAUCACACAAGCCAGAUAAUGGCCGAGCCCAGGCCGGAACCUCAGCCUCCUCGUAUGUGCGGCGUGGGUAUGAGUGGAACGCUGCACAUGGCUGUGCCUGUACCACAUGUGUGAGUGCGCGGGCACCACAUGCCUGCUUGUAGCUGGCUCCUCAUCCCCAGCCCCUGGACCUCCAGGGUUAACGUUCCGCUCAGGCGCUGGGAAGUGCAGCCACUCCACGUUCAGAGUGGCCAAGGUAGCAGAAGGAGCAUGCACCUUACUGGACCAGGGACAAGCAGGAAGUUGGGAGUGGACACAGAGUCCACUCUAUGGAAAGCCAGAAAAGCAGCAUUUGGGUCUGUGAUGACUCAUCAUUAGCAUGGAGGGUCUGAGACCCACACCUCUACCUGCUCACUUACUUCAGGUCCCAGAGGGUCCCUGGACCUAAUGACACAUGUUCUGAUCCUCUCCAGUGUUAUACGCCACACAUACCAUAUCAGCCCUGUGCGGCUCUGGAGGCCAUUUGACCACUGAGUUCUUCACGUUCCUGCUUAAGGACCCUGUCAGUUGUCUGUCUUCCAGCCUCGUGGCUGACCACUCUACCUUCACUGUUUGGCAUAGACUCUUGGUUGGAAGAAUCUCGAGUCUAAUUCUGACGCCCACUAUAGGCCUGGAUCUGGGGCCUUCUAGGACAGGCAAAGGUUUGGUCCUGAGGUGAGCAUAUGGGCUGUGCCAAGGGCCUACCAUCAGGCUGCAGAGUGAGUUAAGGAAGCAGGCUGCGGAUGUGGUCCCCAGGGCAGCGGUAAAGCAGGAGGAAGGGAAGAGGGCGCAGGAGCAUUUCGGCCUGGUGGUUUGUGGCAGGAAGGGCUCCUUCAUAUUAAACUUGAGCAGAUCUGGAAAAUGUCAUUCCCCAGCCUCAGCAAAGCCGACAGCUGAUGCGAUUUAUCUGACUGCGGAUCAGUUCAUCAAACUUGGCUGUGUGUCCUUGGGUGAGACUUGUCCCUUCUCUGGUCCUUACUUCCUCACUUGUGAGAUGGAGAAACGAUUGCUCUCAAGAGGAGGAUGGAUAAACACUGUAUAUACGAUACUUGGCAAACGAGCAGGAAGACAGAGGCCCAUGGGGGACACUGAGGCAGCAGCUCAGGGAGCACCAGGAAACGGUGUCUGUUUCCAAAAAUCGCUACCUGCUCGCAGCCAUUGGGGACUGACCAGGGGACUUGCCACUGUCAAGGGCAAAACAGGGCUUCAAGCUUCUCAUCAGAAGAAUGGGGAAAGUGACAAUAUGGUGACCGGCAGAGGUGCCAGCACUCGAAGCAGUAAUGUCUCUUAGCAUCCUUGGUUGUCAGAGGGCUGGGACGCUCAGAGAGAGACUGAGCUGCUGUGCCAAGCCUCUCUCACCACAGUGGACUGAAGACCCUGCAACAGCCAGAAGUGACUGUCGCCUCCGUUGGCUAUUUCUAUCAGAUACACCAGAAGGUUGUGAGCCACCACAUGGUUGCUGGGAAUUGAACUCAGGACCACUGGAAGAGCCAGUCAACUGCUGCGUCUUAAGCGCUGAGCCAUCUCUCCAGGUUUUUUAUUACACACCAUGUGCACGCAGUGUCAAUUGAGACCUGAAGAGGGCACUAGACUCCCUGGAAGUGCAGAUACAGAUGCUUGUGAGCUACUGCGUGGCUUCUGGAACCAGAACCCAGGCUCUCUGCAAGAGCAGUCAGUUCUCCUAACAUCAGAACCAUCUCUCUAGCUCUAUCAUUUGACUUUUAACUGCUAACACUCACUUCUGCCUUAAAGAAGGUUUUUUAUUUCUAUAAAGCCAAAUUAGUCUCCCCUGCCCCUUUCUGAGGGCUUUGUCUGAGGACUUCUCACGCAUUAAAAAUAUUGUUCAAACUGUAUCUGUGGUUCCUUUCAGGCUAAUUCUUUCAUUAAAAACGUUUCAGUCCCUGACCCACCUAGAAUUUGCUUUGGUAUAAAGUAUGACACGGGGAUCUAAUUUUCUCAAUGGCUAAUUGGAUGUCCUAAUGACAUUAAUAAGUAGUUCAUCUUCUCCUCAAUGAUUUUGUUUUCUGCCCCAACUUUAUCAAAGUACAACUGAUAAAUAAACAUUAUACAUCUGGGAUGCAUAAUAUAUUUUGAUUUAUGCAUACAUUAUGAGAUGUUUGAUCAAGUCAAUUCAUGUAUCCAUCACCUAAUUAUUAUUAUGGUUUAAAUAUUAAAUGUCCCUCACAGGAUCAUACUUUGAAUGCUUGGCCUCAAAGUUCUGUCUUAGCGAGUUCUGUUGGUGGUUCUGUCUCAUGGAGUUCUGGAAACUUUAGAAGGCGGGGCCUAUGGUCAUCCGGACAUGUCUUUGUGAGUCUAUUCACCAGGGCUUCUUCUAAUCUUUCACUGUGCUCCCCAUCUGCUGGGAUGUAAGCAGUGGUCUCCCACCACAUGCUCCUGCUGCCAUGAUGUUCUGUUCAAGUGUGAAGGGCCAAGUGUGUUUCAGGUCAUGCAUGGCCUGAACUCUCUGAAACCCUGAGCCGGAAUCCAUACUUCUUUCUGUAUAUACAAUGUAGAUAUAGUGGGGUGUGUCUCUCAGAUAUUUUGUCAAAGCAAUGAGAAAAACAGCUUUAUGAUUUAAAUGUGAAAUAUGCCCUGCAGGUACAUCGUUUGAACUCUGGAUCCCUGGAUAGCAGUGCUCUAUUUUUGAAAGGCUGUGGAAACUUUAGGAGGCAGGGCAUCAGUGUUGGCAAUGGACCACUGAGGGAGGGGCCAGCCUUGAGGAUUAUUGUCUGUGUCUCAGGCUGAGCUCUUAGCUUUCCUGUUCUAGUAAGAUGUGAGCAAGCUGAGGCAAAAGAGAGCUGUUCCGUAAGCUUCUGCCUCCACAGACAGGGGCAGGACCACUGCCAUGCUUUCUUCUAUACGACCUGAGCCAAGUCCUUUCUCCCUUGAGCUGCUUCUCAACGCUGUCUUAGGCAUUUGGGCACAGCAACAAAAGACUGCAUACAGCAGCUGAUACCCUUACACACAUUUUUGUGGCAAGAUCAUUUACAAUCUGACCUGGUGAAUUCCAGAUGACCAAAGAAACCAUUUCAUCCACGUCCAGUUGGUAAAGCCAUGAGUUAAUUGAGAGUUUCUUCUUGAGCAUGAAUGACACUGCGGACACUGUGCCCCACUGUGGCACAAAGGGUAGCUCACUCAGGCUACCCACAUUUCUAGUUCCCCAUACAGCUUAUGAGCAGCAGUCUCACCAGAGGCUCUUCCCUCCUCUCAUCUCAGGAACCUUACGAACCUCCUCCCUAAUCCAGGAUCGACUGUUCCAUUCUAGAAGAAGCAGCUCCACAGUACAUGUAUUAUUAUUGACUAUAGUCACCAGGCUGCACAACCGGAAGUGUUCAUCAUGCCUAACAGGAGUGUCGCCUCCUUUCCCUGCAUCCUCCCUGCAUCCCUCAGUCCUGGCAACUAGCAUUCUGCGCUCUGCCGCUGUGAGUUCAAUGCUGUUAAAUUUUAAGUGUAAGUGAAACCACAGAAGGCUCUCCAUGCCUGGCUUAUUUUAUUUGGCAUAAUGCCUUCAGGUUCAUCCAUGUUGCAAAUGACAGGAUUCCCAGACUCCUAUUUCCCAGUGUCUUAAAGCAAGGGUGGUCUCUCCAUAAGGUGUUGUGGACUAAAUGUAGGGUCGCAAAAUAUUUGGUGAGAGUUAAAACAUUUCUGAACUUGUGGGGACCCACCCUGAUUCAAAAUCAAAUGUGCAAUGAAACCAAGGUAUGCAGGGUGCUUGCUUGUGUUGUGUCAUGUGACCUCACUGAAGCCGUGGUUCAGCACACCCCACAUGGGCUUUUUGCACUGGGCAGGCGGGCACCGCACGCGACACCAAUGGGGACUGCUUGAGAGGCCGUGGCUCAUCGUGGAGAUUAUUCUGUGUUAUGAACUGCUGCGGUGUUCUUUACUGAACACGCAGAGCUCUCAGCUCUUGUGCAAAGAGAAUGGUUUCAUUAUAGAGAACAGGCUUUUAAUAUUUUCCUACCCCUAUUCUUCAGCAUGUAAGUAUCAAGUUGGUGGUAUAGCUUUGGAUUAUAUUGUGUUUGAAUGUUUGACUUUAAAAAUUGCUGUUUGAGUUGCUGACUCAAAUUUCAUAAAAAAAAAAAAUCAAAUCAUGAAAUGAAUUUUGGCUUGAGGCUGGGACAGACUUUCCAACAGUCUCUGAAGUGGCCCUCAAUAUACUUCUGCCAUUUUGUGCUAGGCUCAAAAUGCAAAGCAGCGGUCUCAGCAUUGGCAAUUAUAGAUCAAUAAUACCAAUCGACGCUGGAAAUGUUCAGGAUGCUCCAUGUCCUUCAGCAUCAACGUUAUUCUUGAAUAAGAAUAAACCAGCACAUACGACGCAGUGGCCUGCAUGCUAGCAUCAGUUCUUUAAUGCAAUGGUAAAAUUCUGUACAUAGUAAAGAAUUGUUUUUAAAUAAACUUCGUUAUGAUUUAUUCU